UUCCUGGCAGAUUAAAACUGUGUGCCGGACAGAGACUCGAACUCGGGACCUUUGCCCUUGGCAGGCACUUGACAGUGAAGGGCAAAGCCACCGAGUUCGAGUCUCGGUCCGGCACACAGUUUUAAUCUGCCAGGAAGUUUCAAAAAGUGAUGGAUUACUUAUUGAACGCCUUUGUAUUUUCCGGAUCAGUGAUACUCCGCUCACCCUGACUUAGCGUGAGUGGAAGAAAGUUUCUAAUCCGUGCUAAUUUCUGCUCUGAAUUU